AUUGAACGCUGGCGGCAGGCCUAACACAUGCAAGUAGAACGAGUGGCGGAAGGGUGAGUAAUGUCUGGGAAACUGCCUGAUGGAGGGGGAUAACUACUGGAAACGGUAGCUAAUACCGCAUCCCAUCGGAUGUGCCCAGAUGGGAUUAGCUAGUAGGUGAGGUAACGGCUCACCUAGGCGACGAACCCUAGCUGGUCUUAGAGGAUGAGCAGCCACACUGGGACCGAGACACGGUCCACACUCCUACGAGAGGCAGCAGUGGGGCAUAUUGCACAAUGGGCGCAAGCCUGAUGCAGAGAUGCCGCGUGUAUGAAGAAGGCCUUCGGGUUGUAAAGUACUUUCAGCAGGGAGGCGUUACCCGCAGAAGAAGCAGCGGCUAACUCCAUGCCAGCAGCCGCGGUAAUAC
rnacentral:rRNA from 1 species